CAAUAGCGUAUAUUAAAGUUGUUGCAGUUAAAAAGCUCGUAGUUGGAUUUCUGGUGGGAGCGAUCGGUCUGGCGCUUAGCGCGAGUACUUGCAUCGUCUCCGGCCAUCCUUGGGGAGAGUCUGUCUGGCAUUAGGUUGUCGGGCAGAGGAUCCUCAUCGUUUACUGUGAAAAAAUUAGAGUGUUCAAAGCAGGCUUAUGCCGUUGAAUAUAUUAGCAUGGAAUAAUAAGAUAGGACUUUGGUACUAUUUUGUUGGUUUGCGCACCAAAGUAAUGAUUAAUAGGGACAGUUGGGGGUAUUCGUAUUCCGUUGUCAGAGGUGAAAUCCUUGGAUUUACGGAAGACGAACUACUGCGAAAGCAUUUACCAAGGAUAUUUUCAUUAA
rnacentral:rRNA from 1 species